CAUCUUGGACGCGUUAGGAGACGAUCAUCACAAAAACCUUUUAAUGAGCCUGCAAUGAUUGUUUUGUCAUCGUCAGACAUAUUUAUUGGUCCGUCUGUCCGGUUUCUCUUAUAAACUUACCUUUUAAUAUAUGGAUAUUACAGGCCCUGGUGAUAACACACGAAAUCUUUACCUGGGACUAGAGAUAACAUUCCCCGGUUGUUCACUUUCUAUGUUUCUACCCGUACAAGAUAACUAUUUUUGGUGAAUAUCGAGGAACUUACACAAGGUUCUAGAGAGAAAAAAGUUUUGGCGCCUUGGACAGUAAUACUUACCCAGAAGUACACAGUGUCAAGAUGUGACUGAAUCCUCUUUUGCUGUCUUCAAAACCAAGAAGUACGAGUUUUGAAUUUAUUCUUUGGAUUACUGUAUUUGUGUCUCUUGCUAGUAUUUGAAGUUUGUCAACAAAAAUGUCUUGGUUCAAAUUUUGGAAAAGCUCAAAAUCAAAAUCGAAGGACAUUAAAGAUGAAUAUCAAAAGGAACUUAAAAGAGCAGAAUCCCUAAGAGAAGAUUCCAAUUUAACGGAAGCGGAACGUGAAAAGCAAAAACUAAAGCACACUCUGUCAAUUUCCCGAUCUGGGAGAUUCAAGCAUAAAAAACGAGAACGAGGAGCGAUUCUGGAUAAACCGGAACUAUUUGAUAAAACAAUGGACAAUGGCAAUGGAGGAAGACCUACAGUGAAGCCACCGAAUCCUCCAUCCGGGCACUCACGAUCUCCAAACAACACAUGUCGAGAUGUUCGGGAUGUGUUUCAGUCUAACUAUACUUCCCAUGUGGCAGCGGUUUGAAAAUUAUCUCCCAACGUAGUACCAAAGUGUGCUUUUGCAAUAAUGAUUAAAUGCGUGCAUUGAUAAAAAAAUUAUAAAGGGCAAUAUUUAUAAAGAACAUUUAAGACAUUGUACUUAAAAAUCAUACUUUGCAGGGCUUGCUGCCAAAGAAGUGUCGUAGUGCUAUCCGAAAAUUUUCUGUCUCAGCUUGACAACAGUGCUGUUGUCCAAAGUGUACAGGACUUUUUUUUAUGUAGUCUUCUUUUUUACACCAAAAUCACGUUCGGAGUAGUUAAGAAAUUAUAUGUGAUUUGGACUUUGAGGAAAAAGUUUAGUGUUAAAGAAUGAUCCCAAUGACCUUUCAUAUAUUCAUUCAUAAAAUGUUUUUGUAUAUGUAUACCGUAUUCUAUUGUGAAACAUUUUGUUUCACGUUUCGUAAAAUUAAUUUUUUGUUACAUUGUAUGCCCAUUCUGACAUAGAAUUGAUUUUUGCUUUUUUUAUUGCAUUUUAUUUACCUUGAUUGUCAUUUCAAACCUUAUACAGCUUUUCUUUGAAGAAAAAAAUUCAACUUGAUUGAAAACAAUCUCCUUAUACAAGAUUUAAAGCUUUAGUUUGUCUGGUGCCAAUAACCCAAAGAAAUGAUUUUUCACUUUGAUUUCAUACACAAAAUGCCUUCUUUUGAUCCUUUAAAGGGAAUAUAAUCACCGAAUGCAAUUGUUCAAGAAAAUGAAAAAACCUUGAUUUUUAUCUCGUAUUUUCUGUCCGUUGCGACGAGACGUCUAUCUCGUGUUGUUUUCGAAGACAAUGGAGUUGGAAAAGUCCACUACAACAAAACAAUUCACCAGAACUCAAGUUCUAGAUGACUUUAGAUUGUCAUCUUAAUCACCAAUCGCUUAUAAAUUACAACUGUUUUUAAGGAGUCAAUGUACAAUAUCUCCCAUGCAUAAACAACUUGCUUUUUUACUAUAUAAGAAACUGGCUUAGUUAAAAUAUGCAACACGUGAUUUGAAAAGCGUAGUUUUCUUAUUGUAACAUGCGGGCGAUAUGAAUACAUUCUGUGUUGGAGAUGUUGGAUAAAUCCAUAAAAUUCUACUGUGAUUAUCUAUGUUUGUAAUGAAUAUGUUUUGUUUAACAUAAUAAAUACGACAAAAGCC